rnacentral:rRNA from 1 species
AAUAAGCUAAUUAAGAGCGUAAGGUGGAUGCCUUGGCUCUCAGAGGCGAUGAAGGACGUGAUAAGCUGCGAUAAGCUACGGGGAUUGGCACACACAAUUUGAUCCGUAGAUUUCCGAAUGGGGAAACCCACUAUAUUGAAGAUAUAGUAUCCGUUAAGGAAGCAAACCCAGGGAACUGAAACAUCUAAGUACCUGGAGGAAUAGAAAACAAAAGUGAUUCCGCUAGUAGUGGCGAGCGAACGCGGAACAGCCCAAACCAAAAUUGUUUCGGCAAUUUUGGGGUUGUAGGACCACGAU